UAAAAUGUGGUAAAUGUUAUUCACAAUUUUUGUUUCUUUAAAAACCUGCUAUUGAAUGCUAUAAAUUUAACACAGUUGUUCAUCAUUACGUUGAGUUGUUUAUCGUGGUUUACAUUUUACUCUCCAGUCUUAUUGUCGAUGGCGUAGCAGUAUGCUUGCAGAAGUAACAACACGAAGUAAGAUGAGGUUUCUAAGGACAAACGCACAAGUAAAUGGGGAA
rnacentral:lncRNA from 1 species